CGGUUUUAGUGGCGGACGGGUGAGUAACGCGUGGGUAACCUGCCUCACACUGGGGGAGUAACACUUAGAAAUAGGUGCUAAUACCGCAUAAGCGCACGGGACUGCAUGGUCUUGUGUGAAAAACUCCGGUGGUGUGAGAUGGACCCGCGUCUGAUUAGCUGGUUGGCGGGGUAACGGCCCACCAAGGCGACGAUCAGUAGCCGGCCUGAGAGGGUGGACGGCCACAUUGGGACUGAGACACGGCCCAAACUCCUACGGAAGGCAGCAG
rnacentral:rRNA from 1 species